CAGCCGCCGCGGUAAUACGUAGGUGGCAAGCGUUGUCCGGAAUUAUUGGGCGUAAAGGGCUCGCAGGCGGUUUCUUAAGUCUGAUGUGAAAGCCCCCGGCUUAACCGGGGAGGGUCAUUGGAAACUGGGAAACUUGAGUGCAGAAGAGGAGAGUGGAAUUCCACGUGCAGCGGUGAAAUGCGUAGAGAUGUGGAGGAACACCAGUGGCGAAGGCGACUCUCUGGUCUGUAACUGACGCUGAGGAGCGAAAGCGUGGGGAGCGAACAGGAUUAGAUACCCCUGUAGUCCCUGUCUCUUAUAC
rnacentral:rRNA from 1 species